rnacentral:tRNA from 1 species
GCAGCCUGUAGGCGGAGGCGUGACUUUACCGGAAAUUCCAACUUUUCCAGAGACAAAAUUAGCUCAAGAGGUGGUGGUUCCAGUCCAGCAGCCUGAAC